UACGAAGGGGGCUAGCGUUGCUCGGAAUCACUGGGCGUAAAGCGCACGUAGGCGGACUCUUAAGUCGGUGGUGAAAUCCUGGAGCUCAACUCCAGAACUGCCUUCGAUACUGGGAGUCUCGAGUCCGAGAGAGGUGAGUGGAACUGCGAGUGUAGAGGUGAAAUUCGUAGAUAUUCGGAGGAACACCAGUGGCGAAGGCGGCUCACUGGCUCGGUACUGACGCUGAGGUGCGAAAGCGUGGGGAGCAAACAGG
rnacentral:rRNA from 1 species